rnacentral:misc_RNA from 1 species
CCGGCGAAAUCAAUUAGAGCGCAUCCCGAAAAGUGUGAAACAGUUUUCGGAAAAGAUGCGUGUCAAAACAAAGGAUUAGAGCGCCG